rnacentral:tRNA from 1 species
GGGGUUGUGGCUUAGUGGUAGAGUGCUUACUUAGCAGGUGCAAGGCUCUGAGUUCGAUCCUCAGCACUACA